GUCCUAGUAGCUUAAUUCAAAGCGUCGGUCUUGUAAUCCGAAGAUCGGAGGUUAAAUCCCUCCCUAAGGCC
rnacentral:tRNA from 1 species